CCACUGAUUCAUUGAUCCAUUGUUCCAUUCAAUGUAGUAUUCAUCAAGUUGAUAUCUACUAUAAGCCAUUAAAUAGGCUACCCAAAAUCCAGUUUCCACCCAAUUUAUGUUGGAACAAGGAAGGCAAAAUUAAACUGAAAGAUGAUGCAUGCUACAAGGAAAAAUGGAGCACAAUGGGAGACCCAGCAGGAGUAGCUAGCAUUGAUUCUCUGGGGAAGAGGCACUAAGAUGGAGUUGGCUAAUUAUUCAUCAAUAUUUGUAGAGGGGCCAGGCACUGUGAUAACUGCCCACAACUGGGCACAGAGAACAGGGCUGUUCUCAUGGGGUAGACAACAUGGCGGAGUUAGCUGGGUUGGAGCACUGAGCGUUAUUCUAAAUGAAGAGUGCAUGGGAAUUGGUGCAUGGUAGAAAACCAACAGUGUCCGGUCAGAGGCUCAGCAUCUGCCUGGCAUCCCCCUCCUGUGAAGAAUGGUGAGCAAUGUCCCAGUGAGAAUCUGAGUGAAAAAGUAAAUGGCAACUGUGGGCACUACAACUCAACCACUUGCAGAUAAUUUCCUUGUCUUUUAUACACAUGGCCAUGAUGAAAAUGACCUUUCACGAACAGCAGGGAAGGCCUCCCAGAGAAAAUGGGGCGUGUGGGAAGAAAAUCUGUCUGCCCGAUGGCCACGUGACUCGGAUGACUCAGAGAGCAUUUCCAGUGUGAAUUACUGAUUGCCCAUACAAGAAGACUUCAAAGAAAACCCUUCAUGUCCUACUUCUGAGGCAGAAGCCCAGAGACCAGGGAAGAGAGAGUGUCUGAAACCCAGAGGACCUUCUUCCUAAGUAAUUUUGAGAACGUACUGCAGAAGUCCCUUCCAACACUCCGUGUUUGCCGACUGCAGAUCACUGGCUAUAACCCGAGCCUUAACAGCAUGGAGGAAACCACAUUCCGUUCAUCACAAGCCACUAUGUGGUUGGUUUGGCAUUCAUUUCAAGAAGCUUUGGUUCUGGGAUGAUCCCAAUGUACUCACCAUCAGCUUGGUAAAGACGUCCGUGAAAUCUCUCUAGUUUAAAGCAUUCGACAUGCCAUGUGUUGAAGGCUGGGUCCUCCCCACAUUACUUCAGUUAGUGUCACUGUUCUGGGAGGGGGUUUCAGGGUGUGUGUGCGCCUAUGAAUUAAUACUUGGUUCCCAGUCCCUUCCCUUAUCUCUGCCUCCCGGCUGCUAUGAGGUGAGCAGCCAUGUCUCACCAUGUCCUUGUACCAUGAUCUUCUUCCUUACCAGGCCCAGGAACAGCAGAGACAGCCAGCAUUGCGCACCUCAGAACCACAGGCUAAAUUUCCCUUCUUUAAACUGUCGGAUAUUUGUUACAGCACACUGUGUAAGAACUACAUUCAACCAACAGCAAAGUACAUCAUGACCUGUCCCCUUGGCACCUGUCACUCUCAUUUUAUUGAGCCCCUCUCAGACAAACGCAGGUUGUCAUUUGGGGCCCUUCAGACCCAGGUGGUCUAGUCAGUAACCUUCUCACUUUUAUCUGAGAUCACUGCUCAUGCCCACCUUGGAACUAUGCAAAAGAGAUCUUCCAUAGGGGUGUUCAGUGACCUGAGUUCUACUGUAGGGUCAGCUUCCAUGGCAGUGAGGGUAGCACCUUACCACACAGUUGUGUGGGGGACUGCUCCAAGUCAGUUACUGGGCAACAUCUCAGCCCUCUUUUAGGGCUAUUUAUGAACUAGUACCUGGGGCUGGAAUACCGCUCAGUUUCAGAGUCAUCCAGAAUAGUGAAGGGAGCCCCAUGCUGUAUUCCUGUCUGGGAAACUCUCACCUACCUCCAGGUGGUCAGAGAAUCUGUUCAAUAAUUAGCUCCUAGCACUGGGAUUAAAAUAUGGACUUUUCAACACAUUUCAAUCUUGGACAUAUUUGGCUUUAAAAAAAAGAUAACAUGUAAGUUUCCAUGAAGGAAUAUUUAUUAACUUAAUUUUAUUUGCAUUAGUAUAGAAGGUGCCAA
rnacentral:lncRNA from 1 species